rnacentral:tRNA from 1 species
GCCGGGGUGGCGGAAUGGUAGACGCAGACGACUUAAAAUCGUCCGGGUACUCUCGUGCGGGUUCGAGUCCCGCCCUCGGCA